rnacentral:misc_RNA from 1 species
UUUCCGUAGGUGAACCUGCGGAAGGAUCAUUAUUGUAUAACCGAGGUGCGAGGGCUGUCGCUGACCCGAAAGGUCGUGCACGCCCGAGUGCCCUCACACACAUCCAUCUCACCCCUAUGUGCACCACCGCGUGGGUCCCCCUUUGGCUUGUUCGGAGGGGGGCUUACGUUUUCACACGAACUUUGUAUGCAGUGUAGAAUGUAUUUUUUGUUUUUGCGAUCACGCAAUCAAUACAACUUUCAACAACGGAUCUCUUGGCUCUCGCAUCGAGGAAGAACGCAGC